rnacentral:lncRNA from 1 species
GGGCCAUAAAAAAGAAUAGGUUUGUUUGCCCAAACCCUACCUACCCAGAAAAAAGCUGCCUACUCAAAUUCUUUUAUUGUCCUGAUUUGAAGAAGUUUUUUUUUUUUAUCAGAUAGCCAUGAAGAUUAAUAAACAUCCGAUACUUCAAUUUCUUAAAAAAAAAAAAAAAAAAAAAAAAAAACUUCAAUUUUUAAAAAAAAAAAAAAAAAAAAAAAAAAAGAAAAUGCCUACCUACCUACCCACUGUCUCAACCUUGAGUUAGGGUUUUGGCAAACCAAAAUAUUUUUAAUUGUGGC